rnacentral:lncRNA from 1 species
CCAAGGCGUGCGUAAUCUUCUCGCAAUGCAUUACUUUGGUCACCCUUUCGAUGCAGAGCUUCAAAAUGUGUCACAAAAUGCAAUUAUUCAUCAUAAUUCUGUCAGUGUAAGAUGCUUCUAUUGACGCAAAGUGGCAAACACGCUUUCGAGGAAGCCGAAAAGCAACUAUAUUAGCUCCUCCAAAGUUUGCUCGGUGACAAUUCGAGAGCAACAGAGCCUAACUGAUAUUUUGUCCAGUCCAGAGUGCUAAAUCAAGUGUUUCCAACAUGUUUUCAAGAUUCUUCAUAUUCGUGAGCACCUUGUUGGCUCUUGCAAUGGCAGCACCCGCGGCCAACAUUAUCCCUGCACCGAUAGCGACAGCUCAAAGCUCACAAUUCUUCGUGCGGAACUACAACGGGAUUGUACCGCCACCUCCUUUCGUCGUCCCUGCAGUCGCUGAACCAAUUCUACCCCUCGAUCCAGUUUAUCCCUUUUAGUUCAUUAGUUAGUUUAUACAACAGGGAUGUUUUUAGUGUAACGCAAUCAUGUAGGCCAAUUCUUUGGUUAUUAUGGGCGAUGGUCAGUUGCGCUGAUUACAAAGUCGUAAAAUCUAGGCAGGAAACACUGUGCAUGGCUUCUUAUGUAAAAUGCUACAUCAAAUAUUAAUACUUGAUCUCUUGCCAUAUUAAAUUGUUUCUCUCUCUAUUUUUUCCUUUUUUCAUACGACAGCAAAAAAAUCUAAAAUUCUGGAUCAGAGUUGAAAAUAAGAGAGUAGUCUUUUGAGUCACGCAUUCCCACAAUUCUAUGAUAAGUAUGUCUGCGGCAUGGGCAUUAAAUCUUUUCAUUUAGUGGAUUAUUCAAAUACCGGCAUCCGAUGGGGAGAAAAACGCUUAAAGGAUAGAUGGAAUUACCUUUUAAAAAAUUAGUGGAGUCGAGGAAUGUAAUUUAACUCUGAGAAACUAAUGCUGAACUAAACUGAAAAGUUUAUGAGUUUCAUACAAAUUGACACUACGACUACAUUCAUCUUCCUACAUUUGUCCGAAAUACUAUUAAUUAAUUAGAAAUAUCUUCCAUAAACUUAUAAAAUUCUAUCUAUAAAAUUAAAUAAUCCAGGAUAUUUUCUCUCUAAACGGCCAAACUAGAGUUCCCUAGUGCCCUUAGUGCCUUUAUAGCAAAUCAUGAGCUUGCCUUCGAUAUGAGCUUUGAAUAUUGAUGGAUAAAUAGAUUCAUUUGAGGUCGAAGUAGAAUAGUUUCAAAAUUACCUUUUGUUAUUCUCAACGUUGUAAAAAUUCUGAUGUAAACAGAGAAAUUGUCAAGCGCACGGUGAAAUUACAUAACAUCAUUUCAUUGAUAACUUAAACGGGUAGUAAUUGCAUUUCAUAUUACAUGUUAUUUUAUCAUAUUAUCAAUUAUGUUAUAAAAAUGUUGGAACAUAUAAAUGAAAUUAUGUACACACAUUGGAGAAAACAAGAAAUAAAUCAUUCUAAAAGGAAAGAAAAAUGUAGACACUUUACUUUCCUUCUCAC